rnacentral:rRNA from 1 species
UACGAAGGGGGCUAGCGUUGCUCGGAAUUACUGGGCGUAAAGCGCACGUAGGCGGCUUUCUAAGUCGGGGGUGAAAUCCUGGAGCUCAACUUCGGAACUGCCUCUGAUACAGCACGUCUUGAGUCCGGAAGAGGUGGGUGGAAUUCCUAGUGUAGAGGUGAAAUUCGUAGAUAUUAGGAAGAACACCGGUGGCGAAGGCGGCCCACUGGUCCGGUACUGACGCUGAGGUGCGAAAGCGUGGGGAGCAAACAGG